UAAAUAAAGAUACUGUAAUAUAAAAAAAAAAACAAAAAAAAAAAAAAAAUCGUGUGAACUGCAGGACACAUGAACAUCGACAUUUUGAACGCAACAAACCCUCAAAGAGCAUCAGCCAUCAUCCAGAGACAACUGGAUGCACUGGAUCCAUGGCUGA
rnacentral:rRNA from 1 species